rnacentral:rRNA from 1 species
GACGAACGCUGGCGGCGUGCCUAACACAUGCAAGUGGAGCGACGAACCGGGGCUUGCCCCGGUGCAGAGCCGCGAACGGGUGAGUAACACGUGCGUGACCUGCCCCCAUGACUGGGACAACCCGUCUAAAGACGGGCUAAUACCUGAUGUGCCCCUUGUGGGAACGGAAGGUUCGGCCUCCGCAUCGGGUUUUGCCCGCGGCGCAUUAGCUUGUUGGUGGGGUAAUGGCUUACCAAGGCGACGAUGCGUAGCUGGUCUGAGAGGACGAUCAGCCACACUGGAACUGAGACACGGCCCAGACUCCUACGGGAGGCAGCAGUGGGGAAUCUUGCACAAUGCGCGAAAGCGUGAUGCAGCAACGCCGCGUGAGGGAAGAAGGCCUUCGGGUUGUAAAACGCUUUCAGUUGGGAAGAGGAUUUGAUCGUGAAUAGAGGUUUGGAGUGACGGUACCUACAGAAGAAGCGCCGGCUAACUACGUG